rnacentral:rRNA from 1 species
ACGCAGCGACGCCGCGUGAGGGAUGAAGGUUUUCGGAUCGUAAACCUCUGUCAGAAGGGAAGAAACCGCACCGUGCUAAUCAGUGGUGCCUUGACGGUACCUUCAAAGGAAGCACCGGCUAACUCCGUGCCAGCAGCCGCGGUAAUACGGAGGGUGCAAGCGUUACUCGGAAUCACUGGGCGUAAAGAGCACGUAGGCGGCCUUGCAAGUCAGAUGUGAAAUCCAACGGCUUAACCGUUGAACUGCAUUUGAAACUGCAAGGCUAGAGUAUGGGAGAGGUAGGUGGAAUUCUCGGUGUAGGGGUAAAAUCCGUAGAGAUCGAGAGGAAUACUCAUUGCGAAGGCGACCUGCUGGAACAUUACUGCCGCUGAGGUGCGAAAGCGUGGGGAGCAAACA